UUGAUCCUGGCUCAGAAUCAACGCUGGCGGCGUGCCUAACACAUGCAAGUCGAACGCGAAAGCCCCGCAAGGGGUAAGUAGAGUGGCAAACGGGUGAGUUACACGUGGGUGACCUGCCUUCGAGUGGGGGAUAACGUCCCGAAAGGGACUCUAAUACCGCAUGACAUCCUGCCUUUGGACAGGCGGAGAUCAAAGCUGGUGAUCGCAAGACCUGGCGCUUGAAGAGGGGCCCGCGCCUGAUUAGCUAGUUGGUGAGGUAACGGCUCACCAAGGCGACGAUCAGUAUCCGGCCUGAGAGGUCGGACGGACACACUGGGACUGAGACACGGCCCAGACUCCUACGGGAGGCUGCAGUGGGGAAUUGUUCGCAAUGGGCGCAAGCCUGACGACGCAACGCCGUGUGGAGGACGAAGAUCUUCGGGUCGUAAACUCCUGUCGAGCGGGACGAAUGCUUCGCGGAUGAAUACUCCGCGGAAUUGACGGUACCGCUAAAGGAAGCUCCGGCUAACUCCGUGCCAGCAGCCGCGGUAAUAAGGU
rnacentral:rRNA from 1 species